UAUACAYCAAUGGCCACCCGUAAAUUGGCAUCAAUUCUGAACUGUCACCUACUCCGACUGUACUUUGGGCGUAAAAAUUCUGAACUUGGGCUGAACCGUCUUUCUCCCAAAAUUUUGACAGGGAGUGCUGAUUUUGAAUGAUGCGGUGGUAAUGGCGGAGUUUGGCGUUUUUGAAGGAGGGAAGUGGUGGUAAAGUAUGGUGAACCCUGGAGUGCUGGCUUCGGACGAAGGAUGGAGGGAACGAGAGGCGUUUUUGCGCUGAUGCUUGGUUGUUUCUAUGUGAGGUUUCCGCCCUAAGGUUUCAGAUCAGGAGGCUUGGGCGUGUCAGGUGUGGAGCUGCAAAUCGGCCUUGGGCGUAAGGUCGUUUGACUGCACCAGGUUUCUUUCAUUUUUCCCUUGAAAACCCAAUGCCCUACUAGCUCUAAGUUUAGCCGUAACAUUUAUUUGGGCUAUCCCCUGUCUCUACGAGAUAUAAAACGGAUCUUCUUCUCAAACCUAGCACCAUUUUUUUCUUCGGAGAAGUAUCUUUCCUUUCCAUGGACAGCCUGACACCAUUUUUCUCUCCUCAACCUCUGUAAAAUCCCCCUUCAAUCAUCGUUCGUUGUAUUCUGUUAUGUGGAGUGUGAGUGCAAGAAUUUCAUUCUAUGCAAAGAGAGAUAUACAGUAGAGAGAAAUAGAGGAAUAGUAAGAAGGAGCUACAGCGUGCUUAGAAGCUCCGUUUCUGAGUUCAAUGGAGACACAAUUGUAAGAUCUGUUUUAAGUUCUUCACCAAUAGGAAGUAUCAGUGUGGGACAUGCAAGGUGUUUCGCUCUGCUCUUAUCAAGCCUUGGGCGGCCAUAGAGCAAGUCACAAGAAGAUCAAUGGUUGUACGCCAUCUUCCUCUGGGCACAACUCACAAGAGAUCUUUGCUUCUGGACCAGCUCUUGGUGGGCACAAGAGAUCUCACCUUUCUCGUCGGGAUUCAUGAUCAGAACUUCUUUUUGAGACAUCUUAUGCAUGGCGAUCAUCAUCCCGGCGCCGCUUGCGAUGGUAACCUCUACCAUGCCUAUGGUAACCCCCAUGCCCUUGACCACUAUGUCUAACAUUAUGAGAUGGCAUGACAGGUGGAAAGCACCCAAAUACCUGCACCAUAAUCUAUUAGGGUUGGUAAAAGCUCAACAAUGAAGAUUGGGUGUCAUUGCGUGUUUAUCCAAUCUACAUCAACGGGAGAACGACUGGCAUUCAAUUAUGAGACAAAUAUAUUAAUUAAUGUCAAAAAGUGUACAUUAAUUAACCAUCUUCCCAGGCUUCCUCCUCUAUCACCUAUAGAAUGGCCAUUGUUGUUCUUGUUCUUAAUAGAAUAAGCAUUCCAAUCACUCACUCUCUCUAUUUCUCUCUUUCAAUCAAUCUAUCUAUCAUUCUCACAACAUCGGGUAUUCAUCCAUACGUCCCUUUUAACAUCCCAUCUUCCCCAAUUCUUUCUUCUUUCUCUUCUUCACAAUUCAUUUCUUCCUUCCAAAAACCCUCUCUCCUAUCUCACAAAAACCUUAUGACCAACCCAUAAAAGAUCACCAAAAUUGA